CUUUGAGUUGAACUAUGACUAGGACCAAUCAUAGAAUGUGAUAUUAUUAUCUAAUAGUUAUCUCCCCACUUUCAGAAAAAUAAUCAGCCUCCUUCUAUCUACACAUCUCUCUCUAUAUAUUAGCUUCUUUAGAUAGAGAUUUCACCCACAAAUCUCUAAAUUCAAAACCUUGAACCAAAUAAUUCAUAAAAAAAAUCUUCAAGGGAAUGAAACCGGCAGAAAAAAUGCAGACAAAGCCAUUUAAGGAAGAGACAGAGGAACCUCAGUUUGGAAAAUCUCCCCAACAGUUUGUUUAGCUUGGCCAUGAGAAGCAAGGAGGAGACAAAACGGCAAGUCAUAUAUCGGCAUCAGGCUCGUGUUUUUCGAGUUCUAUUGAUUUGAUUUUGGUGGUAUAGUGGAUCUUGAAAUGUUUAAGAUUCAGUUGCUACCGAAAGAAUCAUCUUUAAAUAAUAGUAUGUACAAUGGGAAGAAAAUUAUAUUUUAGAUCGUCUUCAUGUGUGUUUUCUUUCCGGUUUUUGGGAAUUAAAUUGGACUAUGUUUGCUCAUGUGUCUAUUAUUAAGUUUCAUGUGUGAUGUGUCUAAUGUCUAUGUUUGUGAAUUUAUAAUAAAAAAUAUUAGAAAUCUGUUUUUCAUUUCCUCGUGUAUCUGAAAAUCUUGACCGUCCAUAAACUGUUUGUUCUAUGGAAAUUUUAUAUUAGUGCC